rfam:Homo sapiens chromosome 5, GRCh38 reference primary assembly.
GUCUACGGCCAUACCACCAUGAACGCGCCCAAUCUCGUCUGAUCCUGGAAGCUAAGCAGGGUCGGGCCUGGUUAGUACUUGGAUGGGAGAAAUGUGGUAAAAAUACUUC